rnacentral:rRNA from 1 species
CACGUAGGUGGCAAGCGUUGUCCGGAUUUACUGGGCGUAAAGAGCGCGCAGGCGGUCGGCCAAGUCGGAUGUGAAAGCCCCCGGCCCAACUGGGGAGGGUCAUUCGAUACUGGUCGACUCGAAGGCAGGAGAGGGAAGCGGAAUUCCCGGUGUAGUGGUGAAAUGCGUAGAUAUCGGGAGGAACACCUGUGGCGAAAGCGGCUCACUGGACCACAACUGACGCUGAGGCGCGAAAGCUAGGGGAGCAAACAGG